AGCGAACGUUAGCGGCGGGCCUAACACAUGCAAGUCGAGCGAGAACGGGGCUUCGGCUCCUAGUAAAGCGGCGGACGGGUGAGUAACACGUAGGUAAUCUUCCCUUGAGCGGGGGACAACGGUCCGAAAGGACCGCUAAUACCGCAUACGUUCUCCGAGACUCCGGUCUUGGAGAGGAAAGCUAGGUAGCAAUAUCCGGCACUCGAGGAGGAGCCUGCGUCGCAUCAGCUAGUUGGUGGGGUAGUGGCCUACCAAGGCGAAGACGCGUAGCUGGUCUGAGAGGAUGAUCAGCCACACUGGGACUGAGACACGGCCCAGACUCCUACGGGGGGCAGCAGUGGGGAAUAUUGGACGAUGGGCGCAAGCCUGAUCCAGCCACGCCGCGUGAGUGAUGAAGGCCUUCGGGUCGUAAAGCUCUGUGGGGAGGGACGAACCGCUGCAGGUUAAUACCCUGCAGCAUGACGGUACCUCUUUAGCAAGCACCGGCUAACUUCGUGCCAGCAGCCGCCGUAACAC
rnacentral:rRNA from 1 species